CCUACGGGGGGCAGCAGUGGGGAAUAUUGGACAAUGGGGGCAACCCUGAUCCAGCCAUGCCGCGUGUGUGAAGAAGGCCCUCGGGUUGUAAAGCACUUUCAGUGAGGAAGAACGCCUGGUGGUUAAUACCCAUCAGGAAAGACAUCACUCACAGAAGAAGCACCGGCUAACUCCGUGCCAGCAGCCGCGGUAAUACGGAGGGUGCGAGCGUUAAUCGGAAUUACUGGGCGUAAAGCGCGCGUAGGUGGCUUGAUAAGCCGGUUGUGAAAGCCCCGGGCUCAACCUGGGAACGGCAUCCGGAACUGUCAAGCUAGAGGGCAGGAGAGGAAGGUAGAAUUCCCGGUGUAGCGGUGAAAUGCGUAGAGAUCGGGAGGAAUACCAGUGGCGAAGGCGGCCUUCUGGACUGACACUGACACUGAGGUGCGAAAGCGUGGGUAGCAAACAGGAUUAGAUACCCCUGUAGUC
rnacentral:rRNA from 1 species